GACAGGGGUCUCGAGCGUUAAUCGGAAUCACUGGGCUUAAAGGGUGCGUAGGCGGGCCUGUAAGUGUCCUGUGAAAUCCCCCGGCUCAACCGGGGAACUGCGGGGCAUACUGCGGGUCUUGAGGAAGGUAGGCGCCGAGGGAACAGUAGGUGGAGCGGUGAAAUGCGUAGAUAUCGAUAGGAACUCCGGUGGCGAAGGCGGCAUACUGGACCACAUCUGACGCUGAGGCGCGAAAGCCAGGGGAGCGAACGGG
rnacentral:rRNA from 1 species